rnacentral:rRNA from 1 species
GGUAUAGACCCGAAACCCGGUGAUCUAGCCAUGGGCAGGUUGAAGGUUGGGUAACACUAACUGGAGGACCGAACCGACUAAUGUUGAAAAAUUAGCGGAUGACUUGUGGCUGGGGGUGAAAGGCCAAUCAAACCGGGAGAUAGCUGGUUCUCCCCGAAAGCUAUUUAGGUAGCGCCUCGUGAAUUCAUCUCCGGGGGUAGAGCACUGUUUCGGCAAGGGGGUCAUCCCGACUUACCAACCCGAUGCAAACUGCGAAUACCGGAGAAUGUUAUCACGGGAGACACACGGCGGGUGCUAACGUCCGUCGUGAAGAGGGAAACAACCCAGACCGCCAGCUAAGGUCCCAAAGUCAUGGUUAAGUGGGAAACGAUGUGGGAAGGCCCAGACAGCCAGGAUGUUGGCUUAGAAGCAGCCAUCAUUUAAAGAAAGCGUAAUAGCUCACUGGUCGAGUCGGCCUGCGCGGAAGAUGUAACGGGGCUAAACCAUGCACCGAAGCUGCGGCAGCGACACUAUGUGUUGUUGGGUAGGGGAGCGUUCUGUAAGCCUGUGAAGGUGGCCUGUGAGGGUUGCUGGAGGUAUCAGAAGUGCGAAUGCUGACAUAAGUAACGAUAAAGCGGGUGAAAAGCCCGCUCGCCGGAAGACCAAGGGUUCCUGUCCAACGUUAAUCGGGGCAGGGUGAGUCGACCCCUAAGGCGAGGCCGAAAGGCGUAGUCGAUGGGAAACAGGUUAAUAUUCCUGUACUUGGUGUUACUGCGAAGGGGGGACGGAGAAGGCUAUGUUGGCCGGGCGACGGUUGUCCCGGUUUAAGCGUGUAGGCUGGUUUUCCAGGCAAAUCCGGAAAACCAAGGCUGAGGCGUGAUGACGAGGCACUACGGUGCUGAAGCGACAAAUGCCCUGCUUCCAGGAAAAGCCUCUAAGCAUCAGGUAACAUCAAAUCGUACCCCAAACCGACACAGGUGGUCAGGUAGAGAAUACCAAGGCGCUUGAGAGAACUCGGGUGAAGGAACUAGGCAAAAUGGUGCCGUAACUUCGGGAGAAGGCACGCUGAUAUGUAGGUGAAGCGACUUGCUCGUGGAGCUGAAAUCAGUCGAAGAUACCAGCUGGCUGCAACUGUUUAUUAAAAACACAGCACUGUGCAAACACGAAAGUGGACGUAUACGGUGUGACGCCUGCCCGGUGCCGGAAGGUUAAUUGAUGGGGUUAGCGGUAACGCGAAGCUCUUGAUCGAAGCCCCGGUAAACGGCGGCCGUAACUAUAACGGUCCUAAGGUAGCGAAAUUCCUUGUCGGGUAAGUUCCGACCUGCACGAAUGGCGUAAUGAUGGCCAGGCUGUCUCCACCCGAGACUCAGUGAAAUUGAACUCGCUGUGAAGAUGCAGUGUACCCGCGGCAAGACGGAAAGACCCCGUGAACCUUUACUAUAGCUUGACACUGAACAUUGAGCCUUGAUGUGUAGGAUAGGUGGGAGGCUUUGAAGUGUGGACGCCAGUCUGCAUGGAGCCGACCUUGAAAUACCACCCUUUAAUGUUUGAUGUUCUAACGUUGGCCCGUAAUCCGGGUUGCGGACAGUGUCUGGUGGGUAGUUUGACUGGGGCGGUCUCCUCCUAAAGAGUAACGGAGGAGCACGAAGGUUGGCUAAUCCUGGUCGGACAUCAGGAGGUUAGUGCAAUGGCAUAAGCCAGCUUGACUGCGAGCGUGACGGCGCGAGCAGGUGCGAAAGCAGGUCAUAGUGAUCCGGUGGUUCUGAAUGGAAGGGCCAUCGCUCAACGGAUAAAAGGUACUCCGGGGAUAACAGGCUGAUACCGCCCAAGAGUUCAUAUCGACGGCGGUGUUUGGCACCUCGAUGUCGGCUCAUCACAUCCUGGGGCUGAAGUAGGUCCCAAGGGUAUGGCUGUUCGCCAUUUAAAGUGGUACGCGAGCUGGGUUUAGAACGUCGUGAGACAGUUCGGUCCCUAUC